rnacentral:misc_RNA from 1 species
AACGCACAUUGCGCCCGCCAGCAUUCUGGCGGGCAUGCCUGUUCGAGCGUCAUUGCAACCCUCAGGCCCUGCCUGGCGUUGGAGGACUGCGCACGCAGCCUCCCAAAGCAAGCGGCGGCGGCGCCCUGUAACCGAACGCAGUAGUCAUACCUCGUUCUGGGUGCGGGACGCGGCCCGGCCGGAAAACCCCUUCUUCUUUAGUGGUUGACCUCGAAUCAGGUAGGAAUACCCGCUGAACUUAA